rnacentral:rRNA from 1 species
GAUGAACGCUGACAGAAUGCUUAACACAUGCAAGUCUUUGGCGAAGCUGUGCUUGCACAGCCUAGCCAAGGCGGACGGGUGAGUAACGCGUAAGGAACUUGCCCUGCAGUCAGGGAUAACAGACGGAAACGACUGAUAAGACCUGGUAAAGUCAGGCGGACUCAUGUCCAGCCUGAUGAAAAGAGAUGCUGCAGGAGAGCCUUGCGUCCUAUUAGCUUGUUGGUGGGGUAACGGCCCACCAAGGCGAUGAUAGGUAGCCGGCCUGAGAGGGUGGACGGCCACAAGGGGACUGAGAUACGGCCCUUACUCCUACGGGAGGCAGCAGUGGGGAAUAUUGGACAAUGGGGGCAACCCUGAUCCAGCAAUUCUGUGUGCAAGAUGAAGGUUUUCGGAUUGUAAAGUGCUUUCAGCAGGGAAGAAAAAAUGACGGUACCUGCAGAAGAAGCGACGGCUAAAUACGUG